UGGGGGAUCGUCUAGUGGUAGGACAGCGGACUCUGACUCCGCUAACCAAGGUUCGAAUCCUUGUCCCCCAG
rnacentral:tRNA from 1 species